CUACAUGGAUCCCAGCCACACGCUGCAGAGCCUGCUUCAGAGGAGAGGACAACAGCAAGAGGCUGGCACACCUCCAGAGAUGCUUCCAGCCAGGACUUCCAGAGACAUGGAAUAUUCUUUAGAAAAAGUGGCGGCUCGGAGGCUCCGCGAGGUUCUCCGAACCCUCUCCGAGCCUCCAAGCCGACACUUUUUCCAAGGCUUCUUUAUUUUUCCAGGUCUGCCUAUUCGAGAGAGGUCCGGGAUGUGCCAUCUUCGGAGUGGAAGCUGCCAAGCGGGACCUCUUUCCUGCUCUCUAGUGCUGGCCAGCCACACUGCACCCUUCGCGCAGAACCCCAGUUCCCGUGCUGCGAGAGGACGGCUCGCACACAGCCGCCCGCUCUCCUAUCCCUGCUCCUAUCCCCGACGGGAGGUGCGGGACUCCGGGACAGCGCGGUGCCGGGCGCGCCCCGAUCCCGCAGCCGGCACCCUCUACCCCCCGAUCCCGCCACCGCCUGUUUCCAUGGAAACCGCGCAGUGACUCAGGACUUUGGGACCAGCUGGAAACCGCAACCGAGAGCGGCAGCCGCCCGGGGGGGCGAGGAGGGCGGGGAGCGGGGCGCGGCCGCCAGUGUGCCCGGGCGCGCUCCCGGCGGCGCGGAGCGGUACGAGGUGCGGGACGAGAAGCUCUCUCCCUGCACCCUCGCUUCCGCAACACCCGGCGGGCAGCGCUGCAGCGGGCUCCGCUGGGAGCGGGUCCCCGUCGUGCUCCGGGCACGGGAACCGCGGGGCUCACGGCUCCGCCGCUACAACGAGCGGCGCUUCGGGCGCAGCGCUCCUUCCCCGAACGCCGCGGCUGCGCUCCCUCCGUCCGGGCGCGAAGAUCCGCAGCGCUGCAGAACAACUCUCGGCCGGGCACCCGCCGCCGCUCCCGGUGUCCCCCGACUUCUCCCCGCGACGGGACGCGUUGCGGAAGGGCUGCGGGGCGGCAACCCACGCGGUCAGGACGGUUUAGUCGGGCCCGCGCCUCUGCGCACCCCCGCAGCCCACCCGCCCGGGGCAGAGGCACGGCCGAGCGGCGCGGCUCAGCGCCCGGCAGUGGGACCGCGGCAGAAGGAUCCUGGCGGGCGGCUGCGAGCGCUCAGCACCGCCGCACUCCGCGCCCCCUCCGGCCGCGGCUCCCCCCGCUCUCCACGUGCACAGCCGCUCCCACGGCACUUCCCGAAGGACAGGGCUCGGGGCGCCGCGCUCGGAACCGCUCGCUCCUCCCACGUCUCCUGUGCCCCGACCCCAUCCCGGCCACGUUUCCGAGGGACCGAGAGAUCGUUCGCACUGCGCGCACCCCGCAGGUCGCUGCCCGCUCGGAGCAGCACCGAAAUCGCAGAGCUUGCCGCUGAGGUUUCUUCUUUUCUCCUCCUCCUGGCAUUCGGCAUUCGCCUUCCCAGUUAA
rnacentral:lncRNA from 1 species